UUGCGCCUACGGGGGGCAGCAGUGGGGAAUAUUGGGCAAUGGGCGCAAGCCUGACCCAGCAACGCCGCGUGAAGGAAGAAGGCUCUCGGGUUGUAAACUUCUUUUAUCAGGGACGAAGCAAGUGACGGUACCUGAUGAAUAAGCCACGGCUAACUACGUGCCAGCAGCCGCGGUAAUACGUAGGUGGCAAGCGUUAUCCGGAUUUACUGGGUGUCAAGGGCGUGUAGGCGGGAAAGCAAGUCAGGUGUGAAAACCAUGGGGU
rnacentral:rRNA from 1 species